CGUUAGCAGCUGCAAUUUUUUAAUAUGCAUGUUCUGAAACGGUGGUGUGUUGCGGCCGGGACUGGGACUCGGGCUUCGACUACUCCACAGGGCUGGAUGAUGUCAAAUCAAGUGGCACACUAUAUUAACGUAUACUUCCAUCAGUAUAUAUAAUUUGUAAUUUUGUGGGGGCUCGAGUGAGCGAGCAGACUUACGGCGGAGGCUGGUCGCCGGUGAGAAUGACGGUCGUCAGCUCCGGGAGCUUCUCGCUGCGCAGCCGGCCGGCCUCGCAGUACGAGAGCUCGGGCGCGAGGCUGUGGAUGAUCUGGUAGUAGUCCUGCGAGACGUCCGUCUCGGCGGCCAGGAGCGCUCUGGCCCCGACCGUGUUCAGGCAGUGGCACAGCUCCGAGGCCCGGUUGCUGGGGUCCACCUUCGCCUGGGCCGUGGAACGACAGAGGUGGAACAGCGGUGACCUCGACGCGCCACGGGCGCCCCGCCUGUGCCGUCGGCACGGACUCACCAGUAUCAGGCCUGCUCUCGGAGCUGCGAGCGCUGCCAGAUUUUCCAUGCUUCAAGUUUCAAGAACAUGUGUCCUUGGUGCCUGCCCAAGAAAUGCCCAAGAUUAAAAAAAAAAAGUGUAUUAUCAACAAAUAUAUCUUAAAUUUAUUUUGCUAAAA